UAGGGAAUCUUCGGCAAUGGACGAAAGUCUGACCGAGCAACGCCGCGUGAGUGAAGAAGGUUUUCGGAUCGUAAAACUCUGUUGUUAGAGAAGAACAAGGACGUUAGUAACUGAACGUCCCCUGACGGUAUCUAACCAGAAAGCCACGGCUAACUACGUGCCAGCAGCCGCGGUAAUACGUAGGUGGCAAGCGUUGUCCGGAUUUGUUGGGCGUAAAGCGAGCGCAGGCGGUUUCUUACGUCUGAUGUGAAAGCCCCCGGCUCAACCGGGGAGGGUCAUUGGAAACUGGGAGGCUUGAGUGCAGAAGAGGGGAGUGGAAUUCCAUGUGUGGCGGUGAAAUGCGUAGAUAUAUGGAGGAACGCCAGUGACGAAGGCGGCUCUCUGGUCUGUAACUGACGCUGAGGCUCGAAAGCGUGGGGAGCAAGCAGG
rnacentral:rRNA from 1 species